ACGAAUUGCAAAAGCUGUCAGCUGGAGCAACGAUCGAUACUGGGCAACUUGGGACAAGUGGAUGGAAGUGAUUGACUGGGAAGAUGAGGAAGAGCUGUGCUCCCCAGCAGAAUCACCCUCUGACCAGGCUGACCGUUCCAUCGUGUCACACACCCGAAAGCCAAUUGCCAAGGCAGUUAGCUGGACGGAUGAUGUGUAUUGGGCAGCCUGGGACAAGUGGGAUGAGAUCAUCUGCUGGGGUGAAGAAGGAGAGUGCUCCCCAGCAACUCCACCCAUCAACCAGCCUGGGAGGGAUAAGGGGUUAGACAUGCAUGGGUUAGAGGUUUUUCUGUUAAAUGAAAGGACAGUCUCCAUAAAGCCUGCAGAUGACCACCAAGACAGGCUGAAAAUAGGAGCCGUAGUGGUCGACCUCUGCCAGUUUGAGCUAGAUGGUGUAAAUGAUAAAUUUGAAAUUGUCGAAAUACAAAUUGGAGAGGUCAAAUUGGAGGAGACUGCAGAGAGGGGUUUUAAUUCAGAAUUUGAAUUGGAAAUUUUGGAUGUGGAGAUAGAGGUUGUAGACAGUGAAUUCCAGCUGAAUGCUCUUAAUUGGGAAAUUGCUGGAACUAAAGUGGACAAAUUAUUAGUGGAACACCUGAACAUAAAUAAUCUAGAAGCAGGCAGUGUGAAGGUGUCCACAUCAAAUGGGAAUGUGGUAUAUGUCAAUGGUAUGUGAGUGUGUUUGGUAAUGAUGGGUGUGAAUGGUGUUGGUGUGUGUGUGUGUGUGUGUGUAUGAGAAUGGUGAUUGAAUGGUGUGUGUGAGGUAAUGGCGUGUGAGUGAAUGGUGUGUGUGAGUGACAGGUGUGUGAAUGGUGUGUGUGAGGUAAUGGCAUGUGUGAGUGAGUGUGAGUGGUAAUGGCGUGUGUGAGUGAAUGGUGUGUGUGAGUAUAUGGUGUAUGUGAAUGGUCUAUGUGUGUGUGAAUGGGGAGUGAAUGGUGUGUGAGUGACUGGUGUGUGUCUGGUGUUUAUGAAUGGUGUGUGUGAGUGAAUGCUGUGUGAAUGGUGUUUAUGAAUGGUGUGUGUGUGAGUGAAUGCUGUGUGAGUGACUGGUGUGUGAAUGGUGUUUAUGAAUGGUGUGUGAAUGAAUGGUGAGUUUUUGUGUGUGUGUUUGUGUGUGUGUGUGUGUGUGAAUGAUCUGUGUGUGUGAGCCUGCCCUGUGAUGGGUUGGUGUCCCAUCCUGGGUUGUUCCCUGCCUCGUGCCUGUAGCCUCUGGGAUCCAUCUGACCGCCUGUUCCAAAAGGCAAAUUGAUCCCCACAUCCCUGAACAGGAGAAGCGGUUUUAGAAAAUGGAUAAAUGUUCCCAGAGGUGUGAGGCAACAGUGCUAACCACUGUACCAUGCAUAUGUAUAGGAUAUGUAGAAGAAUACCUGUUGCAGUUAUCUGAUGUGUGUGUUUUUCACUCUCCCUGUCGGCCCCUGGAGGUUUGGGCUUCCCCUUUGAGUCUGGUGCCUCCCAAGGUUUCUUCCUUCUAGGGAGUUUUUCCUUGCCACUGUCGCCUAUGGCUUACUCACUGGGGGCUUUGGGUGGGGGUGCUCUAAAGCGCUUUGAGACAAUGUAAUGUUGUGAUAUCGUGCUAUACUUUGUUGUGUAAUUUUCUAUUUACUCAUGCAAAUAAAUAAUUGUUUGAUAACAAAAA